GGGGGAUGAGGGGGGUGGAGGCAGGCAGCAUGCAUGUGGGGGCCGAGGGGAGCCCCAGGAAAGGGCGACCCGGGGGCUCUGGGGAACCCGUGCGGCUCUGAUCGUGUGCGUCAAUCCCUGCCUUCACCCAGCGGGCCCUGCCCGCCCCCCGCACCGUGCCCCCAGCCCUCUCCCCGUGGGGCGGCCCCCGGGGCUGUGGCCGCGUUCUCCCGCACGCCGCAAUUAGAGCGCUUCUUGGAGAGCCCCGGAGAGCCCUCGGCAGCCGCUCCGCUCUCCUCUCCCGGGCGGCCGCUCUGCGUGUGGCUCUACCCGGGCGGCUGUGGCUGCGGGGAUAGCGUUCCUGUCCGCCACCCGAAUUUUAAUAUCAAUUUCCAUAUUAAUCGAUCACCCCAUCUAUCUGCUGGAUGAAGGAAAUAGUUGGCAUUCCGAAGAAAAUUGCCUGCUUUCCUGCGGUUAAUAGUUAACUCCGGAAUAGAAAGUUCCCAGGGAAAUGCGGAGGCAGAGCGGGAGCGGCCCCGCCUGCGAUCGGGCGGCAAAACCCUCCCGGGAUCCCCAGAGCCUCCCAGGCACCCUCCCGAGCCCCCCCGGGCCUCCGCUCCAGGCCCAGGCCCCACGUCCCCCUCUUCAGGCAAUAGCCGGGACCGAUGUUGUAAGGAGCAAAGUCCCGAGGGGAUGCGGGCGGGAGGUGUCGGGCUCCUUCCCCGUAGAUGGAACAGCAGUGACCGCAACAGGUUUGUCUUCGUACAGCUUCCAGUGCUGGUGUGAAAUUGUGCCGCUUUGUGCACUCACAGCUGAGCAGAGGCAGAGCCUGCGGAAACGAGCAGACGUCAGUCAGCCCAGUGCGCUGUUAGCCACGAAAGUCCUCAGCACAAUGAUUUGGUGAGGCCGUGAUCUCGGAGAGACAGAAAAUGAGAUGGGUGCUUCGGAUGGAUCAGGAGGAAAUGCUGAAUCGUAAAGGUUUGUGUGGCCACCUGCCUCGGAGUGGAAGGAAGGCUGCCCUCCUCCUACAUCUGACCACUGACAUUAGGCUUGCGGGGCUGCGUGACCCAGCAGAGAGACCUCAUCCGCCAGCAGGGAAGUAACAUGCCCUCUUGGUCAGAUGCUGUUGCUCUCUGGACUUCUGCCUUUCUAGGUGGGACAGUGUGGCCUCUUUAACCCCAUCACUGGAUCAGUGCUCCCAAAUUAGUGUAAUCAUCCCACUCAAAUUAAGUGAGCAGCUCCUGGCUCUGCAGCCCAGCUCUGGGCAUCCCCUCUCAGCCUGGCACCCGCAUCCCCCUCUUCCUCCCUCUCCCCCAAAGCCCCCUGCUUGUGGGCUCCUUGAUAUUUUCUAGUCCUUCCCUAAUGAGCACUGCAGAAUUACAGCUAAUUAAGGAUGUAAAUGAUGCUGGAGAAAGAGGGAGAGGGAGAAGAUGGGAAGGGGCGGGGGGAGGGCAGCUACUUGCUGUGUGCAACUCUGCAGUAAAGUGUCUCCUACCUCAGCAGAAAAGUUAUCAUGGGAGACAAUGUCAACUUUAUGGAGGGGGGAGGGCCCUCUCAGCGCCUCUGUCCCCGCCUGUAAUAGCUGCUGCCUCUCUUUUAUGUGUCAGCGCUGCAGAUGAUGUCCUCCCUCCCAAAUGCUGCUUUGUCAGCUGGCGCUGUCACACAGCCCUGGGUCUCUCUCUGCCUCUCGCUGCCAUCCUCACCGUGCCAGGGCACCCAGGGGCCUGUCUCCUUCCUUGCAAGGAGGUCUGCCUCUCUUCCUGCCUACAGGUCCUCCUCCACACCCGUGGUUUGGAGAGGAUCUGGGACCGGUCCCACUCCAUGAAGGAAUGUUUGUGCUGUGACACAGGCGGGAUGCUGUGUGGGCAGGAGCAGGCAGUGAUGGGGACAUCUGCCCAACACAGUGCUGCAGAGGGACCUUGGCUGCCACUCCACCAGGAACACAGCUCUGUUGGGUCCUCUAAGAGCAUUUGGAAGCGCUCCGGGUCCCCGUUGCCAUAUUUCCCUGCACAUUGCCUGCAUCAGUGGGUUGUGAAAGUACGUUUGUCCCAGUGCUGUGUCUCGUCCAUCCGUCCGUCCAACGGAGGACCACACGUUCUUGGGUCAAGAGCAGGCAGCAAUGGGCAACAACAGCGGUGGUGGGUUUUGUUGUUGUUUCCCCAGAUCGCUGUGCAAUAUAUUCCAAUUUUUUUUCUUGUCAUUAAGCCAGUGCCUCGGAGAUGAUGAUGUAGUCCCUAUGUGGGCCGCAGAAAGCACUUCGAGCCGUGCUGGAGUCGUGCUGGGUGGCUCUGAUAGCAGAGCUAAUGGGAGCGAAUGGGAUGCAACGAACUGUUCUAAUGACACCAGCCAGGGAAGAGACAACAUGCCAAGAAGCCAGCUUCUCAGAACGGAUGUUGGAGGAGAAAACUGAGCAUGGCUGGCUGUACAGGACCGGCCUGGGAUGAAGCAGGAAUAACUCAGUAGGAUGUCUGCAGGAGGCUUAUGAAGUUCUCUCUGUCUGUGCUGUGCAAGCAUGAAGACGCCAAGACACAGACAGGUGCGAUUUCAUGCUGGGAAACUGACUGCCAAGUUGUGUGAGCACCCCGGGACUAGUGAGGCCAUGGUAGUUCUCUGCCAGCCGGAGCGAGAUGUGCCGUGGGGACACCGGCCCCCCCCUUCACCGUGUCCCCCCCUGCUCCUCCCGUGCAAAAGUUAUUGUCGUCUUCGUGGAGUCUCAGACUUCAUCAGAGCAGAGACUUCCACGCACGCAGUGUGGAUUCGCUGUCGAUUCUGUGGCUGAACAAUGCGCCAAUCUGCCCUCCCUUCGUCCCCCCUCUGCCCCAAGAAAGAUUUCCCCAGCCAGAAGAGCACUCCCAGGAGGAACAAAACAAGGAGGAGAGAAAGAGAGGAGCGGGAGCAGCGCGGGUACGCGUGGGGAUGCCGAGAAAUAUGGAUCUCGGCAGGGUAACGAGGCGCGGUGGAAGGAGGAGGCUAUACGUCUUUUCUCAGUAUUUAAAUGUGUGCUUAAUAUGGCGCUCAGUGGAAUGGUUAAUCUGCUAAUGCUGGUAGUGUUUGCUGUAGUACUCAGAGAAAUGUUUACUGCAGUAUUUCAUGGGGAUUGUGUUCUGGAUGGCACAAAAGGAGGAAUCGCUCUAGCGUACCAGGAAAAUGUUCAUUGCAAAAUAUACUGGAAUAUUAAGAGGUUUAUUUAGUGGCGUACUUAGUAUAAUAUGAAAAGAGUUAAGCACAGAGUGUUUUAUUAAUAUUUUUGGGGUGUGGAUGAAUUUCAGUGCUCGGGAAGGUUAUGGAGGAGCAAUUCCAGCAAAGGCUGGUUAUAUUCACAGAUUUAUAGAUCUUAAGAGCAUAAAGGACUCUUUGAUCAGCUAAUCUGACCUUCUGUAUAACACAGGUAUAUACAGCGUGGACAUACCUCCUGAUUCAGCAAAGCACUUUAAGCACUUGCUUAAAUUUAAGCAUUCGAGUUGCCCCACGGAAGGCAGAGAAAAUAACCCUAUUGAAUCAAUGGGACUAUUCAUGCCCUUAAUGGGAAGUGGAUGUUUAGGCAUUUGCUGAAUUGGGACCACAAUAAGAUAAUGCAGCUAAAUGAGUAAUUCAUAGCCGCCCAUUUAUUCAACUGCUUUUGCCUCCUUUUCUGCUCGUGGAUUGCUCUGGAGCCAAUCGCCAUUUCCUGCAAUGUAUUCAUUGUCUGAAGUCAUUCACUGAAUAAUUUCAGUGAAAACUCCUUCUUGAUAGCUUGCUCAUAAACAAUUCAUUGUGAAUAUGGGAAUAUAUGCACAUACGUUUUCACAGUGUGCGUGCGUGCUCCCGUGUGUGUGCGACCGGAGCGUGCAAACACACGUGCACGCACAAACCCAGGGUCAGCACCUUCAGCCGCAACAGGGAAUCCCAUGGACGUGGCUUUGUGAUUUUGCUCCCAUGUUCACUUGGUGCCCUCUGCCUCGCAGCACAGCCCUCGCAGGAAAGUGUCCCGCUGGGAAUUUCACAAGAAGGGAAAUGGAAGAAGGCGCACAAUGCGCUGCAGUGAACUGAGCGUACGAUCGUCCACGUUUGUGUACCCGUGCCGGGCCCUCCAUUCUCUGCCCUUACUCAAUCGGUCAUGAAUCAAAUCUGAUUCAUUUUGAAUGCAUUGCUUAGGGAUUUUUCAAAUCAGCCAGGGCGUAUCUUCUCCAAACAAGGGUGUUUGUGUUUGCAGACUGCCUGUGGCACCGCAUCGGUCAAGUAAGAGGCUUGGUAUUUUUCUGAACAGGAACAAAACUGCAGAACAGGUACCAUGAAUGAGCGGGGCGCUCGGCAGGCAGAAUUGUGUUUGUGCAGUGGGCAGCUCCAGCUCUCAUGCAGAACUUACUGGGCAUUACGUAUCACAACGUGGGAAUCGUUUGCUUGUGGUGCAGGCUGCCUGUCAGAUAUCCUUUCUAAAAGACACACUGCUUUUUAGGAUCUGCUUAUCUUUUUGGGAAAUCAAAGGAAUUACCUUGAUAUUCAGUAGUAAAAUACAAAUUGCCUACAAAUUAAAAACUGAACUUGAUGUUUCCUGAAUUUCAGUUUAUCUUCCUUCUUUACAAGAUGGUAGAGAGAGAUGUGAUGGAAACCAGGAGGGAGCCAGGCAGUUUUGGUUCCUAUACAGAGCUGAUAGGACGCUCCAUGCUCUCCUCUGGGCUCCUGGCAGCUCUGACACCCAAACUGGCUUCUGAACAUCCCUCUGUUGCUGCAGGUGCUGGAGCUGGCAUGCUCGGGUCGGAGGGCUGCUUACUGGGACUGAUGGCAGAGAAAACUCUCUUGUCUGCAGGUGUGUGAUGUUACAUGGAGGAGGUUUAAAGCAAGGCUCAUGAUGAGAGCUGACUUUAGCAAGCGUCAAGAGGUGCCACCAAGUACAAUACUGGGUUGGUUCAUUAGGACUUUGAGAAUCAUUACUUUUUCUUCCAUUUGUCCAACUGAAAAUCCAGUUUUGGCUUUUUCUGGCUAACCUGAGGAGGGUUUUUUUUUUUUUCCUGAGAUAUUUCAGUAAAACAGAAGGGCGCUGUAAGUUAUCCAGGCCGAAUGAGAUACGUUGAUGGCCACUGUCUUUUCUAAAAAAGCAGCUAUUUCGCACAGGGAAGACCAUCUCAACAUGAAAAAUCAAUUGCAAUUAUUCUUUUCCCGACGUAUAAAGCGAAACCUUUUGACUUUUCAAAAUUGCCAUUUCCAUUUAGAUUUUCCCUGUUGGCGGGUGACUGGCCAAAUUCGGCAUGAGCUAGCCAGCAGCCUGUCAGCUGCGGGCACCGUUCAUUCAGCAAAUAAACUUUAUUCACUGAAGUAAAAAAGAGCAACGGCAAAUCCCGACGCUGCGUUCCCCGAAGUUGGGCUGUGGUCGGAUCCGCGGUACGUGCUUCUGCCAAUAUUUGCAUAGCAUUCCAAACAACAGAGACCAUUUGGAGCUAUCUGGGGAGGACCAUGGCAGGGCUCCGGGCAGAGCCACACACGGGCCCAGGCCGAGGUUUGUUUACCCCGCGGCUCAGUGCUCUCCAUCCUGCCGCGGUCAGUGCCACUCUCCUAAUGGAGGGCCUGCCACUUGUGCAUGCAAAGAAUCGUCUGGGUGUUAGUUUUGUUUGCCAAUACAAGCCGCCCAUUAGCUAUCUUAAUCCUCUUUCCUAACAGGCUUUAAAAAAAGAAAAAGGGAAAAGAGAAGGUCUCUCUCAAAUAUUGUUGUAGAGGAAAGAAAUACCCUUCUCCCUUUUUUUUUCUUUUCCUUUUUUUUCUUUUAAAUGGAAAUGUCUUGCUUUAUUGUAGUUUUACCUUCUGAAAGUUGAUGUAUUUUUUUCACCGAGGAGGCUGGAAACUGCUUGCGGAGAAUUUACAAAAGGAGUAAAACUCAGUCUUGUUUCAAUGUUUUCACUGAAAAUGAAAGUGAAUGUCAGGAGCUGCUCUGGGCUAAACUUCCAGCAGAUACGGGGUUAGAUGGGACCGCUUUGUGUUCAUUCCUCUCUCCUCCUUCCCUUCCCAACAUUGUUUUGGAUGAAAUGCAAAAUCAAAUCCUGCAAGAUGUGAUCAUUUAGGGUACUGUGGCAUAUUUUGAAACAGUAGGGCUGUUAGCCCCAGCGUCUUGGCCAAAUUCCAGCCUGGAUAAUUACAUUCUGCCGGCCUAUAUUCCAGCCUGCAGUUCAAAUGGGAGAAAAAAAAAAAAAAAAAAGAGUUAUCAUUUCUCCUCCAAGAAAUCCUGCUGUGUGAUGACUGAUGCUUUUCCAUCCCAGAAGUAGCUGUGUUUCAGGAAAUGUUGCCUCCAUGUUCCUCCAUGUCUUGCCCAUUGCCGGCUCCUUGGUGGGAACAAAGCACAGAGCUGACUGGGAGGGAACUGCAUUGCCUUGCACAUCCCCUUCACUGCUCUGUGUCCCUCUCUGCAUGGAACCCCACUACACAGGGCCACGUCCCCACAGCCUGCAGCAGGUCUUUGUGCUGCCAGCAGCCAGGGGUGGGCUGGGGAGGACAGGCGGCACAGAGGGCAGGCCGGCCGUGGUGGGAGAGGGAGGACUCACUUGACCCGUGCCUGUAAUUUGUAAAGAGCAUUUUUACACCAGAUCAAUGCUUUCCUCAGCAUUUUAAUGCACCCCAUUGGUGUCCUUAAACUCUAAUGAUGCAGUCUGUGAGAAGCUGCCAUUUAUUACCCACAGAUGGGGUGAUAAUUAUUGACAAGAUUGUAACUAAUAAUUAAACCCAUUUGCUCCUUUAAACAAGUUGGUGUGAAUUAUUUGCCGGGAGAGCUGUAGCAGGCCUGUGGUCACUCCUCCCCAUGGCUGAGAUGCAGUGCUGCCAGGAGCGAGCCCUGCACGUGGGAUGAAGCAUGGCUGCCCUGGGGACCAGGCCAUCCUGGAGACCAGGCUGUCUCCCAGGUCCUUGCAGCCUGCACUCCAGCCUGCAGCAAAAUGGUGUGGGGGCAGUGCCAAGCUCCUGCCCAGCCCCAUCCUGGGCCUCGCAGGGCCAGGAGAAGCACUGCGGUGCCCACGUGGCUGUGGGGCAGUGGGCAGAGGAUGAGGGGAUGAGGUUGGGGAAGCAGAGCACAGCAUCGCAGCGCUCAGAAGGCCGCCCGGGGGAGCUGCCUUCCCCUGCUGUACGUUUGGAGGGAGGGUGUAAAUCUAAUCUCACUGCUAGGGUCCAUUAGCAUUAGAGGGGAGUACUGUAUAUGCAUUCAUUCCCCGCUCUCACCCCUGGAUGACAGAGUACCCCCUCUCUUGUCUGCUUUAGCGCAUUGGGAAAGGCUACCCAUUAAUUCUGCAGCAGCAGUGGAUAAUGCUGUCGUAAGUCUUAGGUGCCUCUGAAUUUUGUGAACAUUUUACAGUAAUAAAUACCCCACACUUGUGCAUUUAAUUAGUUGUGUAUCUCGCAGUUGCUCCAUCUGUGCUCUGAUCUGGCUGUUUGUUCACGGAGGUGGGCUGCUUCCUUGUGCUCCUGCUCAGCCCCAAGAAAGGAGACCACGACGUGGUAGAAGGGGUUUGUGGCAAGAGAGGGAGAGGCACGUCUGUGGAGGUUUGUUGUACUGGAAGAGCAAACCUGAGCUGAGAAGAUGAAUGCAAAGCAACCAUGUUGCCAGAAAUAAGCUUCGGUACAUCCAUAAUGUCGGUGCUGUCUCACCCUCUGCAGUGCCACGCAUGCAUGUCAAACUGCUCAGGGCUGGGUUUCUGAAGAGGUUACUGUGCUGUUAAAUGUUCUGGCAGCAGUACUUGCCCUGUUCCUGCUCUCUCCCCUUCCACGUGUACUGUGUUGCACAGGCUAUGAAAUGACAGUACAAACGUACGUCCACAAAAACUCAUCUGCUUGUCUGACUUUGCUUUCAGCAUUUGUGCCUUCCCCUCCUUCAGUGAAAACAACUAUGGGAAGACCGAAAGCCUCACACCUGCUUGCUGCGUUACACGAUCCCUCUUUGUGAAACUCCACCUAAGUCUUGCACUUGCAGAACUCAUGGCGCAAGGGCAAGCAAGCACGUUGCUCUCCUAAGUCUGCAGGAGCCUGGGUUCAACCAGUGAAAAGUUGGGCUGCAAGCUCCAAGUCCUGCGUGAGAAACAUCACGGCCGCAGGGCAGAGCCACUGCUCUUCUGUGAGGCUGAUCUGCUAAUUCAGAUCCCUCCGGGGAGUGCUGACAGGUUAACUUCUCCUGGCAGACUCAAUGUGCGUUUGGUAUUAUUUCUCCGCGACUCUGACUUUAUGCCUUAAAAUAUCGCCUGUCAUCCCCCCACAGCUUGCAGAAAGGUGGAAGAAAAUUGAAGUUGGCACAAAAAACCUCAGAGUGUGUGCUCUGGCUCGUUCGGGAAGGCGUGAUGCCACAAAGAUACCUGCUCCAGUCAGGUCUGUGCGGCUGGCGGAGCCCAAGCUGUGCACAUCCAGUGGUGACACCCAGGGAGGUGUGGGGACCAACCAUGGCCCCAUCUCAGCUCACCCCGCUGCCUGCAGCCGUCCUGCGGAGCUCGGAGAGGCUAUUUAGACACUUAAAGCUAAUCACAUGCAUAAAUCUUCGAGAGAUCAAGGCUGUGGGGGAAACCAGGAGAAGGCAGUGAGGAGGCACAUGUCAAACAGGGCUGUGGUCGAGAGCUCUCCGAGACUUAAACAUAACAUUUGAGAAAAUGAGUCCAUUUGUUUCAGAGGCAUCCUGAACAUUGGCAUGUAGUAAUUCCGUAAUGGAUCCAUUUAACCAGCCCUAUAACUGAAAUAUCCUUCGCAAAUAUUUCCUUUAAUAGCACUUAAAGAGGGAAUGCAAGCAGAGAAAUUUUAAAGCACAGCUGCAUUAUUGCUGAGUUCCAGUUCUGAGGACUUUCAAAGUACCAAGCUAAUUUUUCUCCACAUUUGGCUCAAUAUUUAACAAAUCAAAUGAGAUCAGGAAGGAACCUGAGGUCAAUGUUUUUAACCUGAGUUGUUUGUUAAAUCAUCUCAGCUCUGCAGUAACAAAUACAGCAAGAGCAUGUUGCAUUGGAAGGUAAUUCAGAUAAUCCUCAGAAACUUUGCAAUAAAAUCAUCAUUGCAGAGAACAAGUCUGGAAAUGGCUGUUGGGAAGAAACCUUUCUGUGGAAAGUGGGAAAUUUGCAAAGACGGGAAUUAGAAGAAAAGUCAGAUUUCAGCCUCAGCUGUAGUGAUUAACUGCCUUAACUCUAGUAAUCGUUAAUGAGCAUCUACAUGAGCCAAACCAAAUUGGCAUUUGCACAGAAGCAAGACAGGUUGCAUCCAGCCUGAAGCCGCCCAGAAAGAUGGAUGUAAGCCAUGCAGAGGAGAGGCAGCUCUCACCAAAGCCUUUUUCAGCCCGGUGACAACCACAAGCUGCCUGCUGGGUAGGAAGAGAGCAUGAGGACUGCAGCAUUUGGGCCAUCAGUGUCGAAGGGAGAUCCUCAGGAACACCUGAGUGCCCGUUUCCAUAGCAAACAGGAAACUCGGAGCCCCUCUCUUCUCAGGGGCACCUGUCCUCGUGGGUCUGAGUGAGUGCAGUCCCUCGGGUCACUCCAGCAAUUGCUCCUUGCGAUUUAGCAGGUAGAUGUUAAUCGUGCUGUCCACAUCACACAGCCCCUCGCAGAUCACCAGCAAGGGCUCUCUAGGCCACCGGUGGCCCACAGCCCUGUUUCAGAAGCAACGUGCUAUAAUAAUGUAUCCCUAACCAUGCUUUAUACCAAUAAGUAGGCUAUAACCCUGUCAAGGUGUGCUGGUGACUCUAUAAACCAUGAGACCUGAAUGGUCAAUGGUCGAGUGGUUUAAAGCUGUCACCAGAAUACUGAGAUAGCCUUAUAAGCCUUGUGCUGCAUGGCUGGGGAUACAUUAUUCACUAUAAUAUAUGGUAAGAAAUACCUGUGCAGGGUCUGAAAUGAACUGCUCUAGCCACUAGCCAGCAUGGCUAGUGAUCAGGGAAAUCCGUCAGCAUUUUUGUGUGCAAUGGGAGGCAAAAAAGACAGAGGCACCGAGGAGGGGAAGUCGCUUUCUCUGUGCAGAGAAAUUGCAUUUUCUGCAGGGGAUGGAGGAUGAGCACAACCAAGCCGCAGUGUGGGAGCACAGACAGAGCCCCUCGUUGGCACUCGCUGCCCAGGGCUGGAGGCCUUCAGACCCAUGCAGGCCCAUGUUCUGCAAUCACGAGCCCUAUCGUAUGGUGUGCUUUGUUCAUCCGGCUGGCAUGAGCUGUGGCAAUUUUGUUUUCUUCCUAGCUGAGCAGCCCAUAACCAGUCCAGCUGGCUGGUGGUGGGUCAGAGUGUGUUGGGGCCUUUUCCAGUCUUUCUAUUAAGUGUAGUAUAGUACAGUGUAGUGUAGCAGUCAAGAUCUUUUGUGGCAUGUUCUAUUUGCUGAGCUCCGAGAACUUGAUGUUCAGUAGUAUCCCCAUCCUAUUGCUGGGGAAGUCAAGGCAACGUGCAGUGUCCCCCAGGGUCAUUGAACCAGAGGACAAGUCACUAGUUUUUGGAAACUAGCAAAACUUCAGGGUCUUUCUUAGAGGCCAGAAUUUUAAUGGACAGCUUUGCAAUUAAAAUCAGGGAGGGAGCUUGUGCCAGCUCAUGCACCACCACUGCAGAGCCCUCUCCUGCCAUGCUGUCAGGCCAUGCUGUCAGCAAUAUGUGCAGCGACUAAUGUUUAUAACCGAUGAAAAGUGGCCACUGACGCUCAGCUAAGCCUCGUAUUUAAGACCCUCUGCAAGUAGAAGGCUUAGAGAAAGCAAAGGUGGGCUUUCUCUGUGAUGCCCUGUAACAAUUCACGGCCAUCAUCUGUCUCCUGUAUGCAUGUGCUGUGGAUCAUACUGGGAUGAGCUGUUUCACCUACCAUGAAUUUCUUCCCCAGGCUGAUCUUCUGUUUUUGGAGGAAUAACAUGGACUCAGCUCAGAGCAGCUCAGCAAAGGCACAUGGCCAGGCUAGGUGCAAGAACGUGCAAUUGCAGGGUAAGGGAGGAGGGGGAGGCAGGAGUAGGUCUGGGGGAUGCCCCAGAUCAAAUGGCAGCACAUGUGGGAGUGAGAAGGGCUUCGAAGAGGCUCUGGAGAGGUUUAGGACUAAAGAAGACUCUGCCACCCACAACCUUGGCAGAUCAAAGAUUUUCCCAUCCUGACAGUCUAUGCUGCUUCAGCUGUAGGAGACAAAGUCCCUGAGAGCACGCCCAUGUGAGUGCCCUUUAGGGGCGGGGGAGAAACGAGGAGGGCUUGGGGGAUUUCAUUAGGAGAUGGGAGGGGAGGGAGGAAAGCCUUAGUCCUGAACAAUAGACAGAGCUCAUAUCGCCUGGAGGACUUGGCUGGUUUGUUUUAUUUAUUGCAUAGACAUACGUCUGUAUACAUACAUACGUGUACGUAUGCACACGGACACAUGUAUUGUUUUUUCUUCUAUUUAUUUAUUGCCCUUUAUCAGGCAUGGACCAGGAGCAUCGCUUCCCAUCUCAGAGGCUGGCAGACAAUAGGGCUGCCGGGGAUGUGCUGAGAACGGGUACGGGGAGAGGGCAUGGGCUGCUGGGAUCAGUAGCUGGGAAACCAGGGAUGGGCUGGAGGAAUCCGGGGGUGUGAGCACAGGCUGGCCGCCCCCGCACCCCCCUUGUUAUGUUAAGAGCCCGUCCACCAAGCAGGAGCCAUGCGGCGCAGGGGGAGCAGAGGGACAGCUCUGAAUGCGGCCGCCCCGGCAUCCUUCUGUUCUCCAUAUGGGGACAUUGUCUGGCCUCAGGCUGGCAGCCCCCUCCCUCCUCGUCGCCUCUCCUCUCCCCACUGUGCGCACGUCAAAUGUUGGUUUCCCUUUUGAUUAAAACCCUCAGAGCGGCCAGCGGGGUGACGGGCACCAGGAAUUUGUGAAAGAUGGAGGAGGAGGAGAAACAAGUUUGUGUUUGCCGAGCGGAAGCCGCUUCCCUCCAUCCCCCCUCCCUCUACCUCCCUCCCACCUCCUCUGGGCUGACUGUGGCUGGGGGCCAAGCAGACGUGGGCGUACAGGGUGCUGUGGAGGGCAGGUACCCAGAGGAAUCCCCCCCAGCCCGGACCUGCUGCCCGGGGUGCGAGGUGCUGCAUCCACCCGUACCCCCACCGUAGACCACGAUGCUGCUCACAAAGGGUUUCCCUGCAACACCCACCUUGUGCAGCCCCACUGUACCGCCAUGGGCCACGUGCUGACACUGAAAAUGUGGUUAUGUGAAGAACUGAAAUAUCCAAGGCGAGAAGUUAAAACAACUACAAAACUUCAACAAUUCCUUUUGAUGAGAAAAAAAAUAUGCAAAUAUGGAAGCACCAAUGCCUGCAACCGGGACAGACAGCGCUUGGAAAUACUGCAAAAAAUGUCACAACAGCAAGGCUGUGUUUUUCCCAAGUUGUUCUACAGACCUUUAAAGAUGCUGCUUCAUGAAAUAACGAGUGGUUCAUUCACCAACCCAUCAGCUUGGGAAAUAUAUGCAACACGAAUUCAUUUGUUUCCAGCUAAUUGCACUUUCAUUUCCUCCUCCUGUCUGUGCAAGGCGAUGCAGGCUGAGGCUUGGAGCGGUGCCUCCCAGGCGGUGCCGCAUGCACUGCUCUCGGUGUGCAGAGCCCUCAUGGCAGUGCCCAGCCCAGCCGGGGGAUGCAGCUGCUCCCUUCACUUGGGCAAAAAAGAUUUGGGACCCAUAGUUUAGAGGGAGGUGGGACUGGCAGUCCUCUCUCAUGUUUUAUUCCUGGCUUCUGCCGUUGGCGUGCUGUACAGUUGGAGUCAAACAAACGAACUUCUCUACAUCUCAGUUACGCUUUCUGUAAAAUGAAGGUAAUAAUAUUUAUCCAGCUGGGAUGCUGCAAGGAGUAAUUAAUGUGUACGAAUCACUUUGAAUUCCUCUAACGAAGUGCAAACUGUAUUAGUCCCCACAGAAACUGGUAAUAGGUUUGUGUCUUCCUUCACUGAAGGUCUGACCUCAAUCCCCCCGGGGUAAUCUCGAGGAAAAACUCUUCCUCCUAUUUGUAUUAGAGCAGUUUGUAAGGGCCUCUCCCAGGCCAGAAUCCCUGUUGUGCUUGGAGCUGUAUGCUCAUACAGUAACAUACAGACCGUGCACUAAAGACCUUAUAUCUACAGUAUGAAAAUCUAGGAGAAAACAAGCAUUAACCCUUUUUCAAAGGUAAAUAACAAGGCACAGAGAGGAAACACCUUACCAGUAGUAGGUCUGUGAACUGAGGCUUUUCAGAAGACCAUCACCUCAGAUUGACUUUCCAGCUCGAGCUGAGUUCUCACAUCACUUGUCUGAUGUUUCACUUCCCCAUUUUGAAGUAGCCAGUGGCAAAGGAUUGAAUCCCCCUCUGCUGGGAUGGCUCAGAGAGAGCAGAAUUUGGGAAGGUCAAAGUUUGCAGAGAGAGGACACCAAUGGCUGCAGGUAGGGCAUGUGACUGCUGGUCCUGUUCUUCAUCUCAUGCUCUUUUGGAGAUCUGGAUGUGUUCUGUGUUCUCAUCUGAGUAAAUCUGCAACAGUCCCUGCCCCAGACUGCCAAACCCAGGGAGAAUCCUGCACUAUUCCAGUAUGUAUUUUCUAUCAGCGAAGAUGUGAUUCCAGCCCUCUGUCCUGGACUUUCUUAAUCUGUCUGCUAAAAAAAAAAAAUCACUGCUUGUGAAAGAAUUAGUGGAAUUUGGGUAGGAAAUUGUUUCCUUGCUUUGAACAAAUUUUUAGAAUUCAAAAAUAUUUUCCAUCAUGAGUCUUAAACAGUUUUGCAAGUUCACCAUUAUAACUCCAGGCAGCCAGCCAGCCAACACCAACCCUUCAAAUUAAAAAAAAACAAAAACAAAACAAAACCAGGAAAUAUCAGUUGAUCAAACUCAACUUGUUUUGAGCAAUUUCCUAAUCGUUAUUUCAGAUUUCAAUUUUCUUUUUACUGCAUCCAUACCUCAACUAGAGCAGUAAGCUGUUUCACACCAAUAUAUUGGAUUUCUUCAAAUUUGGACUCAUGAAGUAUUCCCAAACUUGAUUCCAUUUUUCUCCCAACGUUAGAAAUCAGUUUCAAUUGUGUCUUUCCUGAAGGAAAAAAAAUAGAGCAGAAAAAUAAGCGUGUCAGAAAAUUCCCCACCAGAGUCAAUGAUGGGCUGUUGGUCCCAUUCGCAUUCUGUGUUAGCCAUGGAACAUAGCCCUGUGAAAGCUGCAUUUCACAGCCUUAGAACUGCUGAUGCUUCAUAGAAGGGACCUGAAGUAAUGACCUCCUGGCCUGCUUGUCCUCAGGUGCAUCACUACUAAGCCACCUUUAAUACUAUCACGCAGAUGCCACAAGACCCUCUAGAUAAAGAUAUUACUGUUUGCAUGUUCCCUGCUCUUCCAAAGGGUCUUGAGAACUUACCAUACAGAGAUCCAACCAGCAAGGGGGGGUCCACUGGUUUCAGUACGCAGAAGGAAAGCUAAAGAGGUAUUCCAAUAGGACGAGGUAAAGGAUGAAUGUUGGCAUGAUGGGAAACGUGGGGAGACAAAGACUGAGACAAAGACUCUGGUGGUGUAAAUGAUUCCCACUCGGUGGAUUUUCCAAGGCCAUGUUAAUGUACACUUGCAGAAGACCUGGUCGUAACCUGUAACAUGCAUCAGCCAUGGACUCCUUUGGUGGCCAAGCAACCACGUGUUGGAAAGGAGCCACCGAGAGAGAGGGCACCUUCCCCUGGGAGACUCUUCCUGAGCAGCUGGCAGCAGAGCAGGACUUCUCGCCUGGCUGCUGCUGCCCAUACUGCACACCUCUUGGGGCCAGGGUCCCUCAUCCUCUAGCCAGCAUUUGGCCAAAGAAUGGGGGCUGUUUACAGGCGGCAUCUGAAGAUGCCGUUUUGAAGAUAGCAUGUGCAAGGAUGGAAGGAUGAGGGGAGGGGGUGGGGGAAGAGGAGAGGUACAGACACAGCACUCCUUGGCAGUGAUUUAUAGACUGGGUCAGACACAAAUUGACUCGUAUGCAAGAAAUGUAAAUGGAAUCGAGACUUUUGAUGGAGAAGCUCAUUUUCAGACUUAAACGCUUUAGAUUAAACACACUCACACACAAAUGCUGGCGGGGAGGGUGUUUUAUAUAAUUUACAUUACAAAUCAAUUCAUUAUCCACAGAGGCAGGUUGCACUGAUUUUCAAGGAUCGGAGAUUUGAUGAAGAGGAUUCAUUUCAAGAAAUAAACCUUUUAAAUUAACCGCAAGAUGAGGGAAAUUUCUUUAUUUAAAAAAUGCGCCAGCCCCUUCUUUGUUUCUUUUAUUAUUAUUAAUAUUAUUUUCCAUCCGGCUCUGGGUCAUUAAGGAGGGCCCAGAAGUCACAGAUUGCCUUUCUGAGGGAGGAGAGCUGAGAACUUCGAAUGUCGCACAUUUUGUCUGGCUCCAAACCCUUCAUUUAUUGCAACGCAAUUUGUUACCUGCGGUUGGCUCUGCAUGCCAUUGUGCGCUGUGCGCCAGGACUGAUUUAGCAGGGAAUGUCCUCUCCACCUUGAACCUGAGAGGGGGAAAAUCCCCCGGGAGAGGAGAUGGAAGAACCAUGACAGGCAGCCUUCCAGCUGCCUCAGAAGCGAAAUGCCCACUGAGCUCUGGGAGAAGUCCCUUCCAGCUUUGGCACUGUGUGGAGUUCAGGAAACUCCUAACAAAGGCAGAUGGUUCCAUGAGGACACAUUUAAGGUGCAGAGAUAAAGAAAUGGAACCAAAGGAAAACCUGGUAACAAACCAGAUAUGGGUCCUUACCUCCCAUGCUGCCCGGAGGGUGAGCAGACCGCAGUGGAGAAUAGCCAGGGCUAGAGGCAAAGCAGGAGGAGUGAAGAUGAUUGAAGGACAUUACCCAUCUUCCUUGGCAAAGCUUCAGAAUACUGUCUUGGAGGAAAAUUCUUUCUUGCUACCUAAGCCAUUUGAGUACGACUUUUGUUCUCCUUCAGUCAUUCCUGUCUGCAGCUCCCUUGUAACACCCAAGCUGGGAUCUCCUGAAAACAGGUUGCAAAAGUAGCAUUCCUGCUCCCCAGCAUCCCUUCUGGCUGCAGCAUGGAGAGAGGCAAAGCAAGAGAGAAGAGCAGACAUCUACAAUUUUGUUUGCCAAGCGCCUUUUUCAGAUACUUCUGCAUCAGGAAGCAAAUGGCAGGGUCUUUUUCCUAUUUGGACAAGAGCUGACCCUGUAGACACACAGCUGCACUCCCAGCUAAUAGUCAACCACUGCAGCUGUGUGGGAUGAGCCUGGGCUGGGUACUCUUCUCAGACAAUGGCUGGGAAUGGGCAUCUUUGGAGUCUUAGGGCCAUUUGCAUCCCUCGGGGUCCCAGCAAACAUUCCUGAUGUGGAAUUUUUCUCACUCAAAGUGGAAUUUUCUUGAAGACUUCCUUCUUGUGGGAGGGCCCUGGCCACUGAUGGAACUGCACAGCCCUGGGACAGGCAGGGCAGAAAGUGGCCCCAAAUGAAGGUCCCAGCAUCAGGUGAGCAGCAGUUAGUGGGGCUGGAGGGAGCCAAGACACCAGGGCUAAUGGCUCCGAUCUUCUGAAAAGAAGCCAUGGGAUCUUCAGUGACCACAAAUGGCUAAGACCUCCAUUUUACAUCUCUUCCAAAAAGCAAUCAUACGCAUUUUCGCAGGAGAGCUUUUAUUCUCAUGCAGAUAGGGUAGGCAGUGCUGUGUCCUCUCCCAAGUGCAUGCGGAUCUGGUCAGUCCGAGCACACAGAAGAACGACAUGAAACAUGUUUGACCUUCACAACUUCCCUUUACAGACCAGCAAGCUAAAACCCUGAAGGAAUUUUCCUGAGCGAGUUUGUCCAAAGCAACGUUCACCACCUCAUUCAAUAUUUGCCUGCAAAAAAAAAUGCCAAUUAUUGAGAGACAGUCCUGGCUGGGCAUCAAUAGGCAGCCAGGUGUGAGAAGUUGAAGAGAAAUACAUCUCAUUAAUGUGGAAUUGUUUUUAGGUUAAUAAUCUUGCGUUAAUUUUCCUUUAAAAUAUUGUCUUUGACCGUUAAACGCUCGCACUGUUAUAAAAAGAACGUAAUAAAUGAUCUUGAAGCAAA